rnacentral:lncRNA from 1 species
GAAAAUCUCCCUCCUCAAUAUCGCUUAUGUUAUAAAAAAAAAUAAUAAUAAUAAAAUUAAUGACAAAAAACAAUAACAAAACUUAUUUUUUACACACACAUCGAAUCAUAUAAGAAAGGUAAAUCUUAUUUGUACAAAUGAAACUUCGAAUUUAGAAUGGACAAAACUAAUAAAUAACCCCUCACGUGCCAUAGAAAUAGACAUACUGGUUCACGUAUUCCUUCAUAUGAUUUGAUCGCGUAGGUUGCAUUUAAGCUGCUAAUCCAAUCUCCUACUCACUACCACCAUGGUAGGACGCCACUGGCAUUUAGGGUUUUUUUUUUUUUUUUUUUUUUUUUUUUGUUUCUUUGUUUUGUUUUAUUUAUUUAUUCCUUUCACAAUGCUCUUUCUUAAAUCUUUUGAAAGGGAUAUUCGGGUCAUUAAAAUUUACAUUGCAUUAUGGCUGUGUUAAAUACUAUUAUGGAGCCAAAUAGAAACUCCAUUUAUUUCUAAUAGAUAUAUUUAGAAAAAUAAUUACACAAAUUGUUUCUGAAAUGUUUCUUUUCUCGCUUUUCUAGCGAUUUAACCCAAUUACAGUAUAAAAUAAAGCCAUAACAUAUUUUUUACAGUUUUUCGUUUUCUAUAAAUUUACAUUUAUACAGUUUCUAAAUUUAGCAAUCAUGUGAAAUUAAGCACAAUAAUUUUUUGUGGGUCAUAAGCACAAUAGUUUUGUACUUUUAAUUUGAAACAAACACACAAAUGUUUCUUAUUCUUAUUAUUUUAUGAAAAGAAAAUCGUCCACCUAACAACUUAUGACGCACAUAACCACCAUUCUAAUUUCUAAAUCACUAACAUCACGACAACAUUCAACAUUCAAUCAAGUGAUAAAACUAACAAUCUAUUGAUAUUAAAGGUUGAUAUCAAUGUGUGAGAUGAAACGUAAUAGUUAAUAAAAUUAGAAUAUAUAGUCAUUUUGAUUCGGUUUAGUGACAACUCCAAUAUCAAUCAAACUAAACUGAAUCAAAUCAAUUACGGUUUGGUUUAAUUCGGUCCAACAUUUCACUUUUUUAGUGUAAUAAUCGAACUAAACCAUUUGGCUAAGCCGGUUGUUUGCCCACCUCUAGUUAUUACCUUAAUCCAUGGAGCAACAUCAUAUAUUCCAACUGAGAAGUCAACUUCCAAAGGGAAUCAAACAAAAACGCAAGCAGAAAUACUAAAUACCACAUCUUUUUUUAAAAAAUGUAAAGAAAAAAGACACUUUAAAUUCAUGCCAAGUGAAACAAGGUGUUAAACAACUGACCCUAGAGCCUCGGCCCAAUUUAAUUUCAUGCUUGGGCAAGUCUUGCUUUCGAACUUGCCCAUUUUCGUAGGCCCACAUUUUGCCAUGUCAACUUUUUUUUUUUUGUGGGAAUUGUUUUUGGAGCAUAGGGCCUAGGCCCCUUUUAUAGGGGAGGGGUGGAAGUGCUCUAAUAGCGGUGGUGACCAUUUCCAUACAGUAUCUAACUGUAGCACACUAAAAGAAAAAGAAAAAAAAACUAAAUGGAGCUUACAUUUCACCCUUAAUUAUAUAAACUGAAAAACAAAUUGGAGUUUACAUUUCACGCCUAAUUCUUUGGUAUUUAAAUUGACUGCUAAUGUCAACAUGAUGUUAGUUUGCCCAGGCAGUAGUCUAGUUAAGUCUUGCCUUCGGACUUGCCCAACUUUGUAAGCCCACAUCUAGCCAUGGCAAUUUUUUCUUUGUGGAAAUUGUUUUUGGAGCCUAAGCCCCUUUUAUAGAAGGAUGAAGGUGCUCUAAUAGCGGUGGUGACCAUUUCUGUACAGUAUCUACAUGUAGGACGCUACAAGAAGAAGGGGAAGAAAAAAAAAAAAAAACAAAAUGGAGUUUACAUUUCACCCCUAAUUAUAUAAACUUGCAAAUUGUAAGAAACAAACAAAUGGAGACUACGAGAAACAUCUAUUAAAUAUCAGCAUAUUCGUCAUAGAAAGUAACAAUUUUGGUCACACAACGCAACUAUGUCCAAAUACUGGUGUCCCUAGAAGCUGGUGACAAAUUCUAUUCCGUGGUCAUCCCCAAAUAGUGGUCACUAAACCACAAAAAUGGUAUUAGUCACCACGAAUUUAAUCACUAAAAAUCUUUUUUUUUUCAAGGGGAUGAUAAUUUUUAACACACACAAUUAAGAUGCCACGAGAGUUUAAACCCGAUACCUCUUAUCUACAAGUCAAGAUGAUUUUUCAUUGGUUAGACUUCGUCGGCAAUCACUAAAAAUCUUAUAAUUUGAUCAGUAACACGCAAUUUGGUCAUUGAAACAUGAGUGACUAAAAGGAUUAUCCCCUACUUGCCAUUACAAAAGUUUGCUAUAAACACUUCUCCCAAUCAAAUUUCUAAAAGGUUAGGACAUUUACCUGAGCUGUUAAUCACCUGCGUUAAUUAUAAACACAAUUGGAAUCUCGAAAUAUGACACGACUUGCUAAUUUCAUCAAGGGCCUCAAGCAAUCGGGAGAGAAUUUCCUCGCAAACAAGUAGGAAUAGCUCGAAUUGGACUUCCUCAAGGUAUGCACGAGCUGUGCAGAAAUUUCAGGAGCCUCAUAUGUGUAGGGAUGCCCAUCCGUACUGUCAGUCCAAUUCACUCUUGUAAGUGUGUAGUGGCUACAACCUUUGGGGUCCUCCAUGGACAAAAGUGUUGGGAAGUAAUGCUCCUCAGGGUAGCAAGAGUAGACGUUCAAGCAAGGCAGCUUAAAUUUCCUCCAAAGUCUCUUGUCUUGGAUCACGAGCAACGAGUGCCGCUUGGUCAAGAUAUAAAACUGAGAUCCAACCCUGAAUUGCUCGAAAGGCACUUCCGGGAGCAUCACAUUGUCUCCCCGAGACACGUAGCGCUCAGGGAGGUUGGGAUCAUCGGAGAGGAUUUCGAUGAAACUUUGGUGAUUUGAUUGGGUGGCAAAAUCUCUUAAAGCGGCGAGUUCGCUGCCAAAGAGGGUUUUGUAGACAAAGGGAAAAGAGUGCAGUGGGAUACAGUGUUGGGACACUAAGGCAAAGUAUAGGUUUAAUGGAUCGUCCAGGAUGGCGUUGGCGAGGAGCCUACGCGCCGCAGAUAUGAGCGUGGGGGAGGCCCGCUCGGUCUUCUUUGCCGGGACGAAGCGGCCUUCGAAUACGCCGCCGGGAGGAGUGAUCUGGACCGUUGGAUCGGCAUGGAUGUAGAUGUUGAAGAGGUGUUGGUGGCCAUGGAAGAACUUUUCCCAUAAAGGGGCAAAAGAAAGGUCUGAGUUUGUGAGGAAGAGGAAGGCGAUUUUGGGUUUAGGGUUUGUGGUGGUGCCCAAGUGGGAGAUAGAGGAAGAAGAUGUACGAUGAUGAUGAGAGGAAGAAGCAAGUAUAGCUUUGUGGAACAAAGCGACGUCGUCAAGCUCAUCUGGAGACAGUGAGAUUUGAAGGUCUGUGAGGAGGAGGAUUCUUGGGGCGAUGAGAAAGAGGAAAGGGAGAAAUAUGAGUAUAGACAAGGCUGGGAUUAAAGGAGAGGAGAACAUUUUGGAUUUUGGUUUUGGAUGAAAGUAUUAAAACCUAGAUUUAUGGAAUUGGGGGAUUGAAAUUGUGCAGAAAAAGAUAAGAAAGGGAAUAUUUAGGGCUUAAGUCGACGAUAAUGUUUUAGUAAUUAUUGAAGUUGGUGGUGGUGGUGGUGGAGGUGGUGGUGGGGCAGAGAGGGAGGACAUCUUUUUGGAACGUGCGCAGAACAGGGGUGAGGAUUGGAAGAGAGGGAAAGGGAUGGANNNNNNNNNNNNNNNNNNNNNNNNNNNNNNNNNNNNNNNNNNNNNNNNNNNNNNNNNNNNNNNNNNNNNNNNNNNNNNNNNNNNNNNNNNNNNNNNNNNNAAAAAAAAAUGGAGUGAGAUUGAGAGAUAGGUUUGUUAGUCAAAGAAAGAAAUAAAGGUUUUCUUUUUAUUUAAUUAUUGGGGGGGGGGGGAGGAGAGGAUUGGACGGUUGGUGGUUCUGGGGGUGGGGGCUGUUUUGGGUGCUUCAAUCGAGUGGUAGUGGAAUCAUAAUUUAUGAGUGAUACCUUGCACUACAAAAAGGAGUUUGGGGUGAUUUUACCUUCUCUUUUUUUCCAAUUGUUACAAAAAUUUCCAACCCUUGUGUCUACUAUUCGGUUUUAAACUAGCCGAAGAAGCACAAAACUGUAUGGCGUUUGUAGCUCAAGUUGUUAAGAGUAUUUAUCCUUAAAUUUUGCCUUAUAUUUAGUACUUUCUUUAGCGAGAUUGAAGCCCGGAAAGACCUUGUUGGUUAUGACUAUAGAGAAGAAUGGAAUUAAUUAAAGCACCACAUGUGCAUCCACCACUUAUGGAAAGUUUUUCACCAAGGGAGUGUAUAAUAACAUGAUAUAACAUGUUUUAUUUAGGUUAUUUUUGUGAUUGAUUGGUUGUCAAUUUAUUGAAUGAAUUUUUUCAUUUACCAUCAACUAUCAAGUCAUUUCUUAAACCGACCCAUACAUAUCAUGUCUUAGUCCGGCCAUGCGUGUGCAGUUGUUUCUUUUUUCAAAUCAAGCCCGCUCAUCUUUCUUUAUCUUUAAUUUCAUUUACUGAGGUGAUUGAUUGCUUUAUUUUUUAGCUUAAAUUUAAUUCUUGCAGUUCAAAUUUGGUCAAUCGCUUAAAACUAAAACCGAAAUUCUAAAAGAGCAUUCCAUAUUUUAUAUAAUAAAUUCUGACAAUAAAAGAGAACAAUCAAAUAAAAAUUGUAAAAAAAUCUUCUGGGAGUGAUCUCAAUUUGGUGUCAAGAAGACUUUCGUCAAUACGCAGAACACUGGAAUGUUCAGUUUGAGUCGCAGAGAGGUGGUGCGUGGGAUUAGUGGCGACAUUGGGAGAGGCAGGAGGGAGUUGUAUACUCAUUUGUGAAGAAAAGCAAUUUUCAGACCAACCAAAAAUACGCAGAUAAAAAAUUCUUACCAGCAAUAGGAACAAACAACAAUUAUAAUUAUGUAUAUAUAAGUAACCAUCCACAUUACGUAGAAUAAGCAUGUUCUUAAUAUAGCUAUUGCUUAACUUCCAAAUCCCCGAAAGUCACGGAUUCACAAACCAAACCAGAAAUAAACACUAAUAAAC